rnacentral:rRNA from 1 species
AGUAAAUAGAUACCCAGGUAGUCCACGCCGUAAACGAUGUCGACUUGGAGGUUGUGCCCUUGAGGCGUGGCUUCCGGAGCUAAACGCGUUAAGUCGACCGCCUGGGGAGUACGGCCGCAAGGUUAAAACUCAAAUGAAUUGACGGGGGCCCGCACAAGCGGUGGAGCAUGUGGUUUAAUUCGAUGCAACGCGAAGAACCUUACCUACUCUUGNACAUCCAGAGAACUUAGCAGAGAUGCUUUGGUGCCUUCGGGAACUCUGAGACAGGUGCUGCAUGGCUGUCGUCAGCUCGUGUUGUGAAAUGUUGGGUUAAGUCCCGCAACGAGCGCAACCCUUAUCCUUUGUUGCCAGCGGUCCGGCCGGGAACUCAAAGGAGACUGCCAGUGAUAAACUGGAGGAAGGUGGGGAUGACGUCAAGUCAUCAUGGCCUUACGAGUAGGGCUACACACGUGCUACAAUGGCGCAUACAAAGAGAAGCGACCUCGCGAGAGCAAGCGGACCUCAUAAAGUGCGUCGUA